UACGGAGGGGGCAAGCGUUGUUCGGAUUUACUGGGCGUAAAGGGUGCCUAGGUGGAUAGGUAAGUGGAACGUGAAAUCCUGAGGCUCAACUUCAGAACUGCGUUUCAAACUGCCUGUCUUGAGUAUGGGAAAGGUAAGUAGAAUUCUCAGUGUAGCGGUGAAAUGCGUAGAUAUUGAGAAGAAUACCAUAAGUGAAGACGGCUUACUGGCCCAAUACUGACACUAAAGCACGAAGGCUAGGGGAG
rnacentral:rRNA from 1 species